GUAUAGGCGAUAGAAAAGGAACACCUGGCGCGAUAGAAAAAACGUACCGUAAGGGAUUGAUGAAAUAACAAUGAAACCACAAGCACUAAACAGCAAAGAUUAACCCUUGUACCUUUUGCAUCAUGAUUUAGCAAGAACAACCAGGCAAAACGAAUUUAAGCCUGCCACCCCGAAACCCAAGCGAGCUACUUACAGGCAGCCAUCCCAGGGCGAACCCGUCUCUGUCGCAAAAGAGUGGGAAGACCUGUUAGUAGAGGUGAAAAGCCAAUCGAGCUGGGUGAUAGCUGGUUGCCUGUGAAAAGAAUUUUAGUUCGCCCUUAACUCCACUCUACGGAUAUAAACAACCCACAUGAAGAGAGUUAAGAGUAAUUUAGAGGAGGUACAGCC
rnacentral:ncRNA from 1 species